rnacentral:rRNA from 1 species
AUUGAACGCUGGCGGCAUGCCUUACACAUGCAAGUCGAACGGCAGCACGGGAGCAAUCCUGGUGGCGAGUGGCGAACGGGUGAGUAAAGCAUCGGAACGUGCCCAGUCGUGGGGGAUAACGUAGCGAAAGCUACGCUAAUACCGCAUACGAUCUGUGGAUGAAAGCGGGGGACCGUAAGGCCUCGCGCGAUUGGAGCGGCCGAUGUCAGAUUAGGUAGUUGGUGAGGUAAAGGCUCACCAAGCCGACGAUCUGUAGCUGGUCUGAGAGGACGACCAGCCACACUGGGACAGAGACACGGCCCAGACUCCUACGGGAGGCAGCAGUGGGGAAUUUUGGACAAUGGGCGCAAGCCUGAUCCAGCAAUGUCGCGUGCAGGAUGAAGGCCUUCGGGUUGUAAACUGCUUUUGUACGGAGCGAAACGGCUUCCACUAAUACUGGGGGCUAAUGACGGUACCGUAAGAAUAAGCACCGGCUAACUACGUGCCAGCCGCCGCCGUAA